UUUAUUAUUGUGAGAUCCUCAUAAUCCUAACAAACAUCUCAAUCUCAUCAAAACAAUACAAAAAACCCGAUCAUAAUCAUUGGUGAGGCAAGAAUAAAAUUGAAAAUAAGAGGAAACACAGAUGAAUAGAGUGACAAAAUAAACAAGUUAGAGAUGUGUAACCUUCAAAAGAUCAACCUAUAUCAGAAAUCACUUGAUCUGUACAUUUGAUAGAUAAGAAAGAAAAUUACUCAUAAAAGAUAGAAAAAAAAGGAAAAUAUGACAAUUUUUCAGCAGUACAUAUUUUUUUACCCUUUGUAUUUUGUUUAUACAAUCAUAAAGUGAUUAUGAACCAGAGAUUUCUAUUAAAUAAUGUAAGCUAAAUAUUUCUAUUAAGUACAUCCUCAAUUAUAUAAAUCAAUCAAACAUGUAAUGAGUAACAAACCUUGACAUUAAAUAGUUUAGAAAGAUAUGUAUUGAACAUCAAAAUUAAUUAAAUAUAUACUUAUAUCCUUAAGAACAUAAAAUGUCAUCUUCUAUAUUCUGAUAAUUAAACAAUUAACAUAAGUUAUACAGAUUAAAAAAUAUGCUAAAAUACUAAUUAUAAGUAGAAAAUGAAAAAGAAAAAAAGAAAAUAGAAUAAUUACAAGAAAAUGAAAAAGAAAAAAAACAAAAUAGAAUAACUACAAGAAAUUUAAAAUGAGACCGUAUGGUAUAAAGGAAACCAACUCAAUCAGUUUUCCAGUGUUACACUAGCACCACGUUUAUUAUUGUGAGAUCCUCAUAAUCCUAACAAAAAUUUCAAUCUCAUCAAAACAAUACGAAAAACCCUAUCAUAAUCAUUGGUGAUGCAAGAAUAAAAUUGAAAAUAACAGGAAACACAAAUGAAUAGAGUUAAAAAAAUAAACAAGUUAGAGAUGUAUAACCUUCAAAAUAUUAACCUAUAUCAUAAAUCACUUGAUCCAUACAUUUGAUAGAUAAGAAAGAAAAUUACUCAUAAAAGAUAGGAAAAAAAAGGAAAAUAUGACCAUUUUUCAGCAGUACGUAUUUUUUUACCCAUUGUAUUUUGUUUAUACAAUCAUAAAGUGAUUAUGAACCAAAGAUUUCUAUUAAUUAAUGAAAGCUAAAUAUUUCCAUUAAGUACAUCCCCAAUUAUAUAAAUCAAUAAAACAUGUAAUGAGUAAAAAUCAUUGGCAUUAAAUAGUUUAGAAAGAUAUGUAUUGAACAUCAAAGUUAAUUAAAUAUAUACUUAUAUCCUUAAGAACAUAAAAUGUCAUCUUCUAUAUUCUGAUAAUUAAAAAAUUAACAUCAGUUAUACAGAUUAAAAAAUAUGCUAAAAUACAAAAAUUAAGUAGAAAAUGAAAAAGAAAAAAAGAAAAAAGAAUAAUUACAAGAAAAUCAAAAUCUAAAAAAGGAAAUAGUAUAAUUACAAGAAAAUGAAAAUGAGACCGUAUGGUAUAAAGGAAACCAACUCAAUCAGUUUUCCAGUGUUACGCUAGCGCCACCUUUGGUAUAAAGGAAAUCAAUCUUCUAUACGAAAAAUGAAAAUGAAAAUGAGACCGUAUGGUAUAAAGGAAAUCAAUCUUCUAUACGAAAAACCCUAUCAUAAUCAUUGGUGUGCAAGAAUAAAAUUGAAAAUAAGAGGAAACACAAAUGAAUAGAGUGAUAAAAUAAACAAGUUAGAGAUUUGUAAGCUUCAAAAGAUCAACCUAUAUCAGAAACUAAUUGAUCUGUACAUUUGAUAAAUAAGAAAGAAAAUUACUCAUAAAAGAUAGAAAAAAAAGGAAAAUUUGACAAUUUUUCAGCAGUACGUAUUUUUUUACCCAUUGUAUUUUGUUUAUACAAUCAUAAAGCGAUUAUGAACCAGAGAUUUCUAAUAAGUAAGGUAAGGUAAACAUUUUUAUUAAGUACAUCCUCAAUUAUAUAAAUCAAUCAAACAAGUAACGAGUAACAAACAUUGGCAUUAAAUAGUUUAGAAAGAUAUGUAUUGAACAUCAAAAUUAAUUAAAUAUAUACUUAUAUCCUUAAGUACAUAAAAUGUCAUCUCCUAUAUUCUGAUAAUUAAAAAGUUAUCAUAAGUUAUACAGAUUAAAAAAUAUGCUAAAAUACUAAUUAUAAGUAGAAAAUGAAAAAGAAAAAAAGAAAAUAGAAUAAUUACAAGAAAAUGAAGAAGAAAAAAAGAAAAUAGAAAAAUUACAAGAGAAAAAGAAAAAAAGAAAAUAGAAUAAUUACAAGAAAAUGAAGAAGAAAAAAAGAAAAUAGAAAAAUUACAAGAAAAUGAAAAUGAGACAGUAUGUAUUAAAGGAAACCAACUCAAUCAUUUUUCCAGUGUUACAUUAGCACCACCUAUAUUAUUGUGAGAUCCUCAUAAUCCUAGCAAACAUAUCAAUCUCAUCAAAACAAUAUGAAAACCCUAUCAUUAUCAUUGGUGACGCAAGAACAAAAUUGAAAAUAAGAGAAAACACAGAUGAAUAGGGUGACAAAAUAAAAAAGGUAGAGAUGUGUAACCUUCAGAAGAUCGACCUAUCUCAGAAAUCACUUGAUUUGUACAUUUGAUAGAUAAAAAUGAAAAUUACUCAUAAAAGAUAGAAAAAAAAAGAAAAUAUAACAAUUUUUCAGCAGUACGUAUUUUUUUACCCUUUGUAUUUUGUUUAUACAAUCAUAAAGUGAAUACGAACCAGAGAUCUCUAUUAAAUAAUGUAAGCUAAAUAUUUUCAUUAAGUACAUCCCCAAUUAUAUAAAUCAAUCAAACAUGUAAUGAGUAAAAAACAUUGACAUUAAAUAGUUUAGAAAGAUAUGUAUUGAAUAUCAAAAUUAAUUAAAUAUAUACUUAUAUCCUUAAGUACAUAGAAUGUCAUCUUCUAUAUUCUGAUAAUUAAACAAUUAACAUAAGUUAUACAGAUUAAAAAAUAUCUUAGAGUAAUUUUGGAUUGAGUUUCAUGUUCCCUUAUAUAUCAGCAUUUAUUUAGAAUUUAUUUUUAAGUAUAUUUUAAUAUAUUUUCAUACGUCUUAAGUUGAUAAGUAGUGGUGAAUUAUAGAUUAUGGAUUAUUAUAGGUAUUCCUAUAUUACUGGAUGGAUGGUUAAAAAUCUUAAUUAAAUUAGAUUAAAGGUAUGGACAAAGCAUGGACUAACUCCCAAGACAUUGGAAUCUAUUGAAGACUCAGUUGAAGCUGGAACCAAGCAUUUCAAUCAUUGUUGGGGAAAGAAAAGCCGGUAGAGUGAGAUGUUAUGGAAGAACUGUCACACCAUCAUUGUUGAAAAAAAUGAAGAAAUUUCUUUAAUGAAAAUGCAAUGAUGGUAAGAUUUCUGAAUGGUGCAAAGAUGGAAGCAAUGGAGGAACUUUUGAAAAAGCAUGUAUAUGCAACAAAAUCCACAUUUAAGUGAAGAGGAAGUAGAUGAUAAGAUGAGAGAAGCUUUGCACAAUGAUAAUAUUCCAACACCACACUCAUCGCGACAUCAACAUAUGCUCCUACUCUCAUCAAAAGGUACUAUAAUUGACAUUAAUAAAAUCAACAUUAUUUUAUAAGUGUUGAGUUGUUAUUUUAUAGUUGUUUAAUUUUUUAAACAUGCGGUGUUAGUUUUAUAAGUUACUCAUUAAGUUAGUAUAUAUUCAUGCUAGCUAGGUUGAACAUUGUGACAUAUGUUCCAAUGCACAUUUUCAUUAUGUUUUUAAAAAAUUAACAUUGUAUAUUGGUUUGAUGGUAAGAUUCAUGUAUAAAUUGCAUAGAUUCGAGUUUGAUUCUAAGCGUGCAAAGUUCGUUAGUGAGUAAUAUAUAACUAUCAAUUGUUGUGGAUUGAAUCAUUAUUGCAUGGAUGUUGUAGUCAUUGAAGCCUUGCAAUGCCGCUUUGAUUAUUGUAAACUUUGUUAUUGAUAAAUAUAUAAAGAAAUUCUUCAUAUUAAGAGGUUAGAAACAAAGAUGAUCCUGACAAUGAACAAAUGAUGAUCUUCAAGAUGACGAUAAUCUUCAAUAUAAUCAAGAUGAUGAUGAUCUGUCAAUAUGAAUCAAGAGUGAUGAUGAUCUUCAAUAUGAUCAAGAUGAUAAUGAUCUUCAAUAUGAUAGUUUUCAAGAUGAUGAUUCUCCAUGGACCUCAACACAAUGAAUUGAUAAAGACCGCCAUUGAUUUAAAUAUUGACGAUUGUGUUUUGUUUUAUGGAUUUACAUAAAGCCAACUAGCUAUAACUUUUAUGCUGUGAUUUAUUUUGAAAUAUUUUGUAUUUUUUGAAUUUCAAAGAGUUGAUUACACUUCAUCUUAUUAAUACUUUCAUAUUUAAAUAUGUGUUUUCAAUUUAAAAGUGUGUUUCUUCUAAUAAUAUUGAAAAAUAUCUAUUAGAUAAUGUGAAGGUAUAUGAUCAUAAAUGUAUCACCAUAUAAAGGAACAAAAAUCUCUAUCUAAAUUAGUAUCGUUUCAAUCUAGUGCCCACAGGACAAUGUUUAAAUACUAAUAAUGUUUGCUUUUCAAAGUCUUGACGUUAUAUAUAAUUUGAUUGUUUUUUGCAUCUAUAGACAACGGCUUUUUAUGCGUUGCCUUAAUCAAAAACCGUAGUAUAUUCCUUUGUUUUAGCGGCGGUUAUGUGUGUUGUGUAAAUGAAAUUAUAGAUUGAAGCUACGGUUUACAUCUGUUGGUUAUUAAUAACCGUUGCCUUUCACAUGUUUAGGGGACAGUAUUUUAAUGUUGCUGACUUGAAACCGCAGCUUAAAGCAGUUCAACUAAAACCGUGGACUUUGAUAUUUAAGGCGAUGGUGUUCGAGAUCCGUAGGUAGAAUCAAAAAAACCGCCGCUGCUAAAUGGAAUAAGCAAUGGCUGUUAUUCAACGCUUGAUAAAACCGUCCCCUAAGAGCAUUAAAGGCAACGGUUUUAUACCGUUAAUGGGGGGCGUUUUAUUCGUUGUUGCCUAAAAACCCAUGUUUUUGGUUGUAGUGACAUUAAAUAGUUUAGAAAGAUAUGUAUUGCACAUCAAAAUUAAUUAAAUAUAUACUUAUAUCCUUAAGAACAUAAAAUGUCAUCUUCUAUAUUCUGAUAAUUAAACAAUUAACAUAAGUUAUACAGAUUAAAAAAUAUGCUAAAAUACUAAUUAUAAGUUGAAAAUGAAAAAGAAAAAAAGAAAAUAGAAUAAUUACAAGAAAAUGAAAAAGAAAAAAAGAAAAUAGAAUAAUUACAAGAAAAUGAAAAUGAGACUGUAUGUAUUAAAGGAAACCAACUCAAUCAUUUGUUAGGAUUAUUGUGAGAUCCUCAUAAUCCUAACAAACAUCUCAAUCUCAUCAAAACAAUACGAAAACCCUAUCAUAAUCAUUGGUGACGCAAGAAUAAAAUUGAAAAUAAGAGGAAACACAGAUGAAUAGGGUGACAAUAUAAGAAAGGUAGAGAUGUGUAACCUUCAAAAGAUCAACCUAUAUCAGAAAUCACUUGAUUUGUACAUUUGAUAGAUAACAAUGAAAAUUACUCAUAAAAGAUAGAAGAAAAAAAAGAUGACAAUUUUUCAGCAGUACGUAUUUUUUUUACCCUUUGUAUUUUGUUUAUACAAUCAUAAAAUGAAUAUGAACCAGAGAUUUCUAUUAAAUAAUGUAAGCUAAAUAUUUUCAUUAAGUAAAUCCCCAAUUAUAUAAAUCAAUCAAACAUGUAAUGAGUAAAAAACAUUGACAUUAAAUAGUUUAGAAAGAUAUGUAUUGAACAUCAAAAUUAAUUAAAUAUAUACUUAUAUCCUUAAGAACAUAAAAAAUCCCCAAUUAUAUAAAUCAAUCAAACAUGUAAUGAGUAAAAAACAUUGACAUUAAAUAGUUUAGAAAGAUAUGUAUUGAACAUCAAAAUUAAUUAAAUAUAUACUUAUAUCCUUAAGAACAUAAAUUGUCAUCUUCUAUAUUCUGAUAAUUAAAAAAUUCACAUAAGUUAUACAGAUUAAAAAAUAUUCUAAAAUACUAAUUAUAAGUAAAAAAUGAAAAAGAAAAAAAAAAAUAGAAUAAUUACAAGAAAAUGACAAAGAAAAAAAGAAAAUAGAAUAAUAACAACAAAUUUAAAAUGCGACUGUAUUGUAUAAAGGAAACCAACUCAAUCAGUUUUCCAGUGUUACACUAGCACCACCUUUAUUAUUGUGAGAUCCUCAUAAUCCUAACAAGCAUCUCAUUCUUAUCAAAACAAUACGAAAAACCCUAUCAUAAUCAUUGGUGAUGCAAGAAUAAAAUUGAAAAUAAGAGGAAACACAAAUGAAUAGAGUGACAAAAUAAACAAGUUAGAGAUCUGUAACCUUCAAAAGAUCAACCUAUAUCAGAAAUCACUUGAUAUGUACAUUUGAUAGAUGAGAAAGAAAAUUACUCAUAAAAGAUGGAAAAAAAGGAAAAUAUGACAAUUUUUUAGCAUUACGUUUUUUUUACCCUUUGUAUUUGUUUUAUACAAUCAUAAAAUGAAUCAUUUUUCCAGUGUUACAUUAGCACCACCUGUAUUAUUGUGAGAUCCUCAUAAUCCUAACAAACAUCUCAAUAGGGUGACAAAACAAUAUGAAAACCCUAUCAUAAUCAUUGGUGACGCAAGAAUAAAAUUGAAAAUAAGAGGAAACACAGAUGAAUAGGGUGACAAAAUAAAAAAGGUAGAGAUGUGUAACCUUCAAAAGAUCAACCUAUAUCAGAAAUCACUUGAUCUGUACAUUUGAUAGAUAAGAAAGAAAAUUACUCAUAAAAGAUAGAAAAAAAAGGAAAAUAUGACAAUUUUUCAGCAGUACGUAUUUUUUUACCCUUUGUAUUUUGUUUAUACAAUCAUAAAGUGAUUAUGAACCAGAGAUUUCUAUUAAAUAUUGUAAGCUAAAUAUUUAUAUUAAGUAAAUCCUCAAUUAUAUAAAUCAAUCAAACAUUUAUUGAGUAACAAACCUUGACAUUAACUAGUUUAGAAAGAUAUGUAUUGAACAUCAAAAUUAAUUAAAUAUAUACUUAUAUCCUAAAGAACAUAAAAUGUCAUCUUCUAUAUUCUGAUAAUUAAACAAUUAACAUAAGUUAUAUAGAUUAAAAAAUAUGCUAAAAUACUAAUUAUAAGUAGAAAAUGAAAAAGAAAAAAAGAAAAAAGAAUAAUUACAAGAAAAUGAAAAAGAAAAAAUGAAAAUAGAAUAAUUACAAGAAAAUGAAAAUGUGACCGUAUGUUAUAAAGGAAACCAACUCAAUCAUUUUUCCAGUGUUACAUUAGCACCAUCUUUAUUAUUUUGAGAUCCUUAUAAUCCUAACAACCAUCUCAAUCUCAUCAAAAUAAUACGAAAACCCUAUCAUAAUCAUUGGUGACGCAAGAAUAAAAUUGAAAAUAAGAAGAAACACAGAUGAAUAGAGUGACAAAAUGAGAGAGUUAGAGAUGUGUAACCAUCAAAAGAUCAACCUAUAUCAGAAAUCACUUGAUCUGUACAUUUGAUAGAUAAGAAUGAAAAUUACUCAUAAAAGAUAGAAAAAAAAAGAUGACAUAUAUAUAAAUCAUAAAAUGAAUAUGAACCAGAGAUUUCUUUUAAAUAAAGUAAGCUAAAUAUUUUCAUUAAGUACAUCCCCAAUUAUAUAAAUCAAUCAAACAUGUAAUGAGUAAAAAACAUUGACAUUAAAUAAUUUAGAAAGAUAUGUAUUGAACAUGAAAAUUAAUUAAAUAUAUACUUGUAUGCUUAAGAACAUAAAAUGUCAUCUUCUAUAUUCUGAUAAUUAAACAAUUAACAUAAGUUAUACAGAUUAAAAAAUAUGCUAAAAUACUAAUUAUAAGUAGAAAAUGAGAAAGAAAAAAAGAAAAUAGAAUAAUAACAACAAAUUUAAAAUGAGAUCGUAUGGUAUAAGGGUAACCAAUUCAAUCAGUUUUCCAGUGUUACACUAGCACCACCUUUAUUAUUGUAAGAUCCUCAUAAUCCUAACAAACAUCUCAAUCUCAUCAAAACAAUACGAAAAACCCUAUCAUAAUCAUUGGUGAUGCAAGAAUAAAAUUUAAAAUAACAGGAAACACAAAUGAAUAGAGUGACCAAAUAAACAAGUUAGAGAUAUGUAACCUUCAAAAGAUAAACCUAUAUCAAAAAUUACUUGAUCUGUACAUUUGAUAGAUAAGAAAGAAAAUUACUCAUAAAAGAUAGAAAAAAAAAGGAAAAUAUGAAAAAAUUUCUGUUGUACGUUUUAUUUACCCUUUGUAUUUGUUUUAUACAAUCAUAAAGUGAUUAUAAAUCAGAGAUUUCUAUUAAAUAAUGUAAGCUAAAUAUUUUUAUUAAGUACAUCCUCAAUUAUAUAAAUCAAUCAAACAUGUAAUGAGUAACAAACUUUGAGAUUAAAUAGUUUAGAAAGAUAUGUAUUGAACAUCAAAAUUAAUUAAAUAUAUACUUGUAUCCUUAAGAACAUAAAAUGUCAUCUUCUAUAUUCUGAUAAUUAAAGAAUUAACAUAAGUUAUACAGAUUAAAAAAUAUGCUAAAAUAGUAAUUAUAAGUGGAAAAUGAAAAAGAAAAAAAGAAAAUAGAAUAAUUACAAGAAAAUGAAAAAGAAAAAAAGAAAAAAGAAUAAUUACAAGAAAAUGAAAAUGAGACGGUAUGUAAUAAAGGAAACCAACUCAAUCAUUUUUCCAGUGUUACAUUAGCCGUCCCUUUAUUAUUGUGAGAUCCUCAUAAUCAUAACAGACAUCUCAAUCUCAUCAAAACAAUAAGAAAAACUGUAUCAUAAUCAUUGGUGACGCAAGAAUAAAAUUGAAAUAAGAGGAAACACAAAUGAGUAGAGUGACAAAAUAAACAACUUAGAGAUGUGUAACCUUCGAAUGAUCAACCUAUUUCAGAUAUCACUUAAUCUGUACAUUUGAUAUAUAAGAAAGAAAAUUACUUAUAAAAGAUAGAAAAAAUGGAAAAUAUGACAAUUUUUCAGCAGUACGUAUUUUUUUACCCUUUGUAUUUUGUUUAUACAAUCAUAAAGUGAUUAUGAACCAGAGAUUUCUAUUAAAUAAUGUAAUCUAACUAUUUUUAUUAAGUAUAUGCUCAAUUUUAUAAAUCUAUCGAACAUGUAAAGAGUAACAAACAUUCAUUAAAUAGUUUAGAAACAUAAUUAUUGAACAUCAAAAUUAAUUAAAUAUAUACAUAUAUCCUUAAGAACAUAAAACGUCAUCUUCUAUAUUCUUAUAAUUAAACAAUUAACAUAAGUUAUAAAGAUAAACAAAAAUGCUAAUAUACUAAUUAUAAGUAGAAAUGAAAAAGAAAAAAAAGAAAAAAGAAUAAUUACAAGAAAAUGAAAAAGAAAAUAAGAAAAUAGAAUAAUUACAAGAAAAUGAAAAUAAGACCGUAUAAAGGAAACAUACUCAAACAUUUUUCCAGUGUUACACUAGCAUCAGCUUUGUUAUUGUGAGAUCCUCAUAAUCCUAACAAACAUCUCAAUCUCAUCAAAAAGUACGAAACACCCUAUCAUAAUCAUUGGUGACGCAAGAAUAAAAUUAAAAAUAAGAGGAAACACAAAUGAAUAGGGUGACAAAAUAAUAAAGGUAGAGAUGUGUAACCUUCCAAAGAUCAACCUAUAUUAGAAAUCACUUGAUUUGUACAUUUGAUAGAUAAGAAUGAAAAUUACUCAUAAAAGAUAGAAAAAAAGUAAAAUAUGACAAUUUUUUAGCAGGACGUAUUUUUUUAACCUUUGUAUUUUGUUUAUACAAUCAUAAAGUGAAUAUGAACCAGAGAUUUCUAUUAAAUAAUGUAAGCUAAAUAUUUUCAUUAAGUAUAUCCCCAAUUAUAUAAAUAAAUCAAACAUGUAAUGAGUAAAAACAAUUGACUUUAAAUAAUUUAGAGAGAUAUGUAUUGAACAUCAAAAUUAAAUAAAUAUAUACUUAUAUCCUUAAGAACAUAAAAUGUCAUCUUCUAUACUCUAAUAAUUAAACAAUUAAAAUAAGUUAUACAGAUUAAAAUAAACAAGUUAGAGAUCUGUAACCUUCAAAAGACCAACCUAUAUCAGAAAUCACUUGAUAUGUACAUUUGAUAGAUAAGAAAUAAACUUACUCAUA
rnacentral:lncRNA from 1 species